rnacentral:lncRNA from 7 species
AGUUUCCUGGAGUUCGAGCAAGAGAAGAUAAAGUGGUUCUGGGGUGAGAGACUGGAAUCAAACCACACCCUGAAAGACAGGUGACAUGGGCUUGCGAAGCUGAUUUACAGAAGCAGAUACCAGAUACUCUUCUAUCAACUAAACAUUUGGUGGCCUGUAUUCAUCAUCAUCACUUAAGUCCUGAAGACUUCCUGCAGACUUUGUGAAUCAAAGUCAUUUGGUCUAAUGGUGGAACAUUUAAAUAUCAGACGGGAAAUGUAUCACCUGCUGCAACACCCAGAAAAAGAAGCCACAUUUUUGGUGCGCCUGAUAGUCUGCUGCAGCUUAGGAAAAAAGCUACAUCACACUGCUAUGAAAAAAAUGGCUUAGAGAGGCAUCGAACCGUCCUUCACAUGAAGAAUAUUUUUUACAUUUUCACUGGGGCCAGAACUUUGGGCUUUGGGAACUUACUGCAGUGCGCACUGUGAAUAUGGGCAUGCAUGACCUGGGUGUGUGGAGCAGAGCCUGAUCUGGAAUCUGUUUGAAGCUCAGAGUAUCCAUGCCUACCUCCCCACUUUGUUGCAGUAUUGCUAUGACAACCAGCUGCUAUAAAAAGUUUCUGUCUAAAUAUAUCGCUUGUGCUCUUUUCCUACUGUAGAUUUUUCUCUUCUAGUUAUCCAUUACUGUAAAAAUCAUUCUCACGUUUUACUUAUUUACACUUAUGCAAGAGUCUUUGUAUUUACUUUAUUAUUAUUAGUUGCCUCAAUUUUAACUGCUCACAUUACACAGAGAAGAUAUGAGGCUAAAUGACGAGCCACUGAGGCACAGAAAAAUAUAGACUCUGACAAUAG